rnacentral:rRNA from 1 species
GAUGAACGCUGGCGGCGUGCCUAAUACAUGCAAGUCGAGCGAACAAACGAGGAGCUUGCUCCUCUUACUUUAGCGGCGGACGGGUGAGUAACACGUGGGUAACCUACCUAUAAGACUGGGAUAACUUCGGGAAACCGGAGCUAAUACCGGAUAAAAAAUUUAACCGAAUGUUUAAAGUUUGAAAAACGUUUUUGCUUUCAUUAAAGAUGGUCCCGCGCCGCAUUAGGCAGUUGGUAAGGUAAAGGCUUACCAAGGCAACGGAUCGGAGCCGACCUGAGAGGGGGACCGGCCACACUGGAACGGAGAAACGGUCCAGACUCCUACGGGAGGAAGCAGUAGGGAAUAUUCCGAAAUGGGCGAAAGCCGGACGGAGCAACGCCGCGUGAGUGAUGAAGGUCUUCGGAUCGUAAAACUCUGUUAUUAGGGAAGAAGAAAUGUGUAAGUAAAUAUGCACGUCUUGACGGUACCUACCCAGAAAGCCACGGCUAACUACGUG